CCUACGGGAGGCAGCAGUGAGGAAUAUUGGUCAAUGGACGAGAGUCUGAACCAGCCAAGUAGCGUGAAGGAUGACUGCCCUAUGGGUUGUAAACUUCUUUUAUAAAGGAAUAAAACGAGGCACGUGUGCCUUUUUGCAUGUACUUUAUGAAUAAGGAUCGGCUAACUCCGUGCCAGCAGCCGCGGUAAUACGGAGGAUCCGAGCGUUAUCCGGAUGUAUUGGGUUUAAAGGGAGCGUAGAUGGGUUGUUAAGUCAGUUGUGAAAGUUUGCGGCUCAACCGUAAAAUUGCAAUUGAUACUGGCAGUCUUGAGUACAGUUGAGGUAAGCGGAAUUCGUGGUGUAGCGGUGAAAUGCUUAGAUAUCACGAAGAACCCCGAUGGCGAAGGCAGCUUACUAAACUGUGACUGACAUUGAUGCUCGAAAGUGUGGGUAUCAAACAGGAUUAGAUACCCUGGUAGUC
rnacentral:rRNA from 1 species